UAGGGAAUCUUCCGCAAUGGGCGAAAGCUUGACGGAGCAACGCCGUGUGAGGGAUGAAGGUCUUCGGAUCGUAAAACUCUGUUAUUAGGGAAGAACAAAUGUGUAUGUAACUAUGCACGUCUUGACGGUACCUAAUCAGAAAGCCACGGCUAACUACGUGCCAGCAGCCGCGGUCAGACGUAGGUGGCAAGCGUUAUCCGGAAUUAUUGGGCGUAAAGCGCGCGUAGGCGGUUUUUUAAGUUUGAUGUGAAAGCCCACGGCUCAACCGUGGAGGGUCAUUGGAAACUGGAAAACUUGAGUGCAGAAGAGGAAAGUGGAAUUCCAUGUGUAGCGGUGAAAUGCGCAGAGAUAUGGAGGGACACCAGUGGCGAAGGCGACUUACUGGGCUGUAACUGACGCUGAUGUGCGAAAGCGUGGGGAUCAAACAGG
rnacentral:rRNA from 1 species